UGUGGAAUCAACACCCUAAUUAGUGACUUCAUCUCUGUUAGAUAUGUCUGACUUAAGAAAAUAUUGUGAGGCUAUUUAUCAGCUUGUCAUUACUAAGGGUGGCAAGUGUACCUUUUUUUCAUUCUUUUCUGGUUCUGUGAAAUGCCUUCAGUUCAUUUUUUGAUAGGUACAGCUGACCAUAAGAGAGUUUUAUGCACGUUUUCUUCACAUAGAUCAGAUAAAUUGAUAAGUUUUACCUAUUUGCUUACAUAUAACAGUGGUUAUCGUGGAGGAGAGGUGUGGAUAUCCCAAACUGUUUGAUUUAAGGGAGACCAUUUAAUUUUGGUAGCAGGAAGCAACUUCCAUAAAUGACAACUUUUUUCUCUUCAAAACUCCACUGAAAUACAGACUUGACACCUGUAUGAAGCAUUAUUUUUAGAAAGAGGGACUGGGACACUUCUUCUCCCUUGACUACCAAAAUGACAUAUAAAUAUCAUUUCUUUUACUUUUUCUGUGAAUUUUGUGACUUGUGCCUUGGUGUGUGACUGCGAUGUGCAUUUUUUGUUGACAGAUGUGAAUAAGGUAUAGAGUCCUAAAUAAAAAUGUGUCUGAUCCAAAUAGGAAGCAAUAUGCAGGAUAACUUAAGGAAAAAAAGAAAAAGUGGACUCACUGUAUUCCUGGGGAAUAUGUGGGAACAAACAGAUCAACAUGGAAUAGUAUAGGUACCUUUUUAAUGCUGAAAUGGGCAUGCUAAUUGUGAACUAUGCGGUCAGAAGCUCCUUCUAAAAUAUUCAGUAACUUAUUUACUGGAAUUUAACAAGCUGUGUACUUCAAAGCUUCUUUCACCUCUAAUUAUGUGCAUAAACUCUGUGAAUUGUAUUGCCAACUUGAGAUUUGGCACAGUAGCAGCAGUGCUGAAGCAGCCCCCACUGCUAGGGAAGGUACAAACACGGGAAGGCAACCUGUGAUGGGCCGAGAGACCUCACUUACCAGGAUUUGCUCACGGUUAUGCUUCUGGCAACUGACAUUUCCAUUUUACUCAAAGCUUCUACCUUUGUGUCAUCAGACAAAGCCCCAUGAGUGGUGGCAGAGCAAACCGUAGCCUUCAUUCUAAAGUUUGAAGAGGAAAAGUUAUUUACAUGCCUAAAUCGCAAAAUGUGUUCAAAGGUCCCUCUCUAUUACUCAUUGUUUUAAGCCACUAAGUUUUCCAUAAGCUCUAUAAGCAAAAGGCAGAUAGUCUGGGCAGAAACAUUUAAUUGGUUGUUUUCUUUUCUUUUCUUUUUCUUUUCUUACUGUAUGGUCUGAUUUUUGGACUACCAGAGGUACGUUGAAGAUAGGAUGUUUCUGUCAUUCCUUACCAUGAAUGAUUGCUUAAAGGGACCAUCAGAGACUGCAAGUCAGAUCUCUGUCCCUCCUUAAGAUUUUUAUGUUCUGAAGAGGAAUGACUUUUAAUUGGUUAGGAUUUUAGAGUUUAUUAUGUAAGGAAAACUACUGAUUCUUGUAAUGACUGAUCCUUUACUGUUUUUAUCAGACUUUCAAUUGAGCAUUUCUUAAACUCUUUUGCUUAUUUAGGCAAAUAUUUAAUUAUUUCAUUGCUGCACUGCCAUUUCCUUGCUCCCUAUUUUAGACAUAUUUUCCUGGAUGUGAGUUUGAAUUUAGUGACAAUCAGUCUGAUUUCCAGAACUGUAUUAUCAGUAAAAGUACUUUGUAGCAAGAUGUGUGAAUGGAGAUGUUAAGAGAAAGCACAAGCAAUGCCUUUAUUCAUUCAGAGGUGAAGCACUGAGAAGUCAAGGUUAUUCAAUGAAUAAAUGCUGCUUGAAAUAUCUUUAUUUUCCAAACUACAAGAGCAAUUCAAUCAAUAAGGAUAGCAUAUGAAAAAACAAACAAAAAAGUCAGUUGAUUUCCUUAAAAAAUAUUUGGAAUUUAAAAAAAAGGGGGGGUGGGGGUGGGAAAGCCAAUGUUUGACAUGGUGAUGAGGGUAGAUCGAAGGACUUGUCUCAGAGGCUGCUUACGCUGCUAUUGCACAGCAAAACUGUGUAGGGCAUUUAAUCUCUCUCAGUUGUCCUGCUUGUAAGUAACAAGCUGAUAACAUCCACUUGAUUUUAGCGUUGUGCAAUAUUCAGAUGUUUCACAAUAUAACAGAAAGUGUGUCAGUGUACUUAAAAGUUGCCUGUUAAACUUCAUGUUUUUUAGAUAAAAGAAAAUUUCGGCUACACAUCUUGAAAGAGAUCAUUCCUUAAGGUGGUGGUGGCAGCUUUAAGCUUUUCUGGGAUAUAUUUUCUCUUUGGUUGUUUGCUGCUUAAUGGGCUAAUUUUUGGUAUCAUCUCCGGAAUAUGUGUGUCUCCUAUGACUGAUAGGAAGGAUGGUUACUGCAAAUAAAGUCUCUUUUAGGAAAUCUUGUGAUCAGCAGAAUUCUGACAUCAUCACAAAAACACAGCAUGGCAUAUAUUUCUCAUUUCAGCUAAUAAACCUAACAUUUUUGUCUGGCCAACAUCUUACGCCUGUCUGCUAAAUGAUAUUACUGGAAGAUUCCUUACUAUUAAAGCAAUUGAGAUUGAGUCAAAUAAUAUGUAAAUGACAGAGCUUUUCCCCAUAAAUAACCAAGUUGAUGUUUCCCAGUGCAGUAAAACACUUCUUAUUGGUACUGACAAUACCACAGUCUGGAAGAGGUUAUCUAGAAAAGAUAAACCAAGAAAAAUUAGAUGUAGCAUAUUUUCUAUUGGCUGUCAACAUAAAUGUCUUCAGAUCAGGACUGUGCUCCUGAAGUUAUUCUCCUGAUUAUCUCCACUUACUGUGUUAUUUUUAAUACAGUGUUAAUAUUGUCUCAUGGGCAGGAACUGGCUUUCUUUUGAAGAGCACUGAGCUGAGAUAUAUUGUCUGGGUACUCACACCAGUACUCCAUUCUCAAACAGAUAUUAGGUUCAUGGAACCAUAUGAAAUGAUCCUGAAGUGAGGCUAGCAGGACUUCAAUACUAAUAGUAAAGAGCCCAGUCAUCUGUUUGUUACACUACUUGUUAUUCCUAAACAUAACGUCAAUGAGCCUACAGAAUCCUGCAUCAGUUGGUAACCACCAACUCUGUUCAGUUCACAGGAAGGAAGGAAAGUGCACAGAGAUCCCUGUGUGGAUGGUUGUGGUUUGCUGUUCAUUUCCCAGAUCUAUAGGAAAUGGUCAUGAUCUCCUUAUGAGAAAGGCUUGAGCAGAGGUAGAUACUGUCAAGAUGGAAUUAUUUAGAAAGAAACAAUACUUUCUCCUUGGUUUGCACUCGAGCAACAAGGACAGUGAAGUGCCCGGAAUAUUUUGCACUGCAUUUCUAGCAUAACCUAAAUUUUUCUUCUGCAACAUGGGCAUAUUAGCCACUCACAUUGCAAUUAUCUGGGACUACAGGUACAGUAGUUUACUUGCUGUAGAUUUUCUCAAAUUCUGAAAAUAGAGAAAGAGAAUAUUUCUUGAAAGAAUGAGACAAGACUCUGAUCGCUGUGAAUCUCCUCUCAGUAAUUUUGAUGACUGCACAUUUUGUACUAUGUGAAAGGAUAUCAGCAGGGAAAUAGUGAAAGUUGUACAAAACCUACACAAAGUUAAAAGUUAUUUCUACAGAAAAUAUUGGAAGUACUAUCGAUGACUACUCUCAAAAUAGUAGUAUGGCUGGGAUUUUUUCUCUUGAGUAUUCUAUGCCAUGCCCUAGGCUUGCCUGUAGCUUUAGGUUCUUGCAGUGGAGCCCGCAAAGGUUUUCUGUCAUUGAACAAUGGUCAGAGUCUAUGACAUGAGAAAUAUUAAGAAAACAAACAAACAAACAAACAAAACAAAACCACAACAACAAAAAACACAUCUGCCUGAAACUUCCAGCAUUUAGGGUAGGAAAAGCAACUAAUCCAAGACAGAAUCAAAAUGGUUUAUAAGAACAUCCAAAUUAGGAAUGCAGAACUUUACUUUCAAGAACAACAGCAAAGUGACAAAGAUGUCCUUUACCUGCAUCUUUGCUAGUGUUAAGCACCAGCCCACAGCUGAAGUGCAGGCCAUAUCAUUGAUAUAUCCUUGUCAGAUGCCAUCGAAGAUAUUGGAUCCUACAGAAAAAAAUGAGAAACUAUUAUACAAUAACUGUAUUAUUAUACAGUACAAAAGGACGUGUUAGGGUUGCCAGUAAGGUAAAGAUUAAAACAGAGAGUAAACCAUGAACAUAACCAUUCACAUGUUUUCUGCCUUUAUUUAAACACAGUGUGGUUUAAGUUUUUAAGGGGCAUCUUUCAGAUUCAUCUUCUAAUGGUGAAAAUGGCUAAUAUGUGUAUAGUCUAAUCAUAUUACUAUUUCAAGUUACUUUAAUUGCAGCACUUCUAAAAGUUCAGGAAGCAGAAUUUCAUUCCAUCUGGUGAUCACUUAUUUACUUACAUUAGUCAUACAGACAGAAAACACUGAGUUAAAAAAAAAAAAAAAGGG